UAUGGCGACCGGCGCACGGGUGAGUAACACGUAUCCAACCUGCCGAUGACUCGGGGAUAGCCUUUCGAAAGAAGGAUUAAUACCCGAUGGCAUAGUUCUUCCGCAUGGUAGAACUAUUAAAGAAUUUCGGUCAUCGAUGGGGAUGCGUUCCAUUAGGUUGCUGGCGGGGUAACGGCCCACCAAGCCUUCGAUGGAUAGGGGUUCUGAGAGGAAGGUCCCCCACAUUGGAACUGAGACACGGUCCAAACUCCUACGGGAGGCAGCAUG
rnacentral:rRNA from 1 species